rnacentral:rRNA from 1 species
GAUGAACGCUAGCGGCAGGCUUAAUACAUGCAAGUCGAGGGGCAGCACGGGUAGCAAUACCUGGUGGCGACCGGCAAACGGGUGCGGAACACGUACGCAACUUUCCCAAAACUGGUGAAUAGCCCUCCGAAAGGAGGAUUAAUACACCGUAACAUAAUGAAGUGGCAUCACUUUAUUAUUAUAGCUCCGGCGGUUUUGGAUGGGCGUGCGCCUGAUUAGGUAGUUGGCGGGGUAACGGCCCACCAAGCCUUCGAUCAGUAACUGGUGUGAGAGCACGACCAGUCACACGGGCACUGAGACACGGGCCCGACUCCUACGGGAGGCAGCAGUAAGGAAUAUUGGUCAAUGGACGCAAGUCUGAACCAGCCAUGCCGCGUGAAGGAUGAAGGUCCUCUGGAUUGUAAACUUCUUUAUCUGGGACGAAAAAAGGGAAUUCUUUCUCACUUGACGGUACCAGAGGAAUAAGCACCGGCUAACUCCGUGCCAGCAGCCGCGGUAAU